AGGAGAAGUGUGACUACCGUCUUAGGUAAUUGACCACAUACAACACUAUACAUCAAUGAAACAGGGUCAUCACGGCCUGUGAUAACAAAAACUAAUCGCAUGGCCUCCCUUAUAAAUCACACCAAGAUGAAAAAUAGUUAUAAGUAGGGUCUAAUAGUUUUUAAGGUACAGUCUAGAUAGCAGUCCCAUUUAUCCUUAGAAGACAAACGAAUUCCAAAUUAUGCACGAAUAGAUCUCUUAUUAUAUUGUUUGACGCUGACUUCUAUAACCUGUAUGAAUCAGCUUUAAAAUAUUUUCAAAAUUGGCCCGACUUACACCGGAAUGAGCUAUACAAAUGCUAUGAUCAAUGUGCUAUUAGUGAAAGACGAGAAAGUGUCAGAUGUAUUAUACUAAUAUAUACAACUGUUGAAUAUAUAUGGUGUACAUUUCCUUUUUGAAUAUUCCUGCUCCACUCUAAAUGAAUUAUGUGACAUCCUACUAAAGGAAAGCAACAACGAUCUAGCUUGAGUCUUACUCUUCUUGAGCCAUUGAAUCCUAUUUUUUCAAAAAAAAAAACUCCUUGAUUUAAUCUCACUCCCCUUGCUUCACCAACCCGUGGAUGAUCUUAAUAAAGAUCUUCGGGUCUAGGUACAUCCCUUCCUCCUGCAUUGAACCAAAGAACUACAGAGCAUGUUUCAUGCUCCCAACCCGACAGCACCAUCAAAUCAAAGCAUUCCACAUAGCUAUAUACAGCUUGAUCACCUCUGUACGUCAUACCUGAUAUAGGAAACGAACGUAUGAAUAUGGUAUAAUGCGCAUUUUGGUAAAGAUCAAAAGCAUAUCAUGAGAAAUCAAUGAACUUGCAUUUGUUGGGCUCAUUAACACCAAUUAAACUAUUUUCUCAGCCCAAACCUAAGCCUGGCCAGCGUAAAAGUUCAGCCACAGAGUUAUAUUUUGACCUAAAUGUAUCCUCUUACGGAUCAAGGGGCAUCCUUCCAUCUUAUUCAUCCUUCUUCCAACUCCAAAAUAAAUUAAAAAUCUAGAUGGUAUCUCUAUGGGAAGACACAACGUCUCACAUACCAAUGUAUAUGGCCUAAAUCUUCGAAAUUCAAACAAGCUAAAAUAUACCCUUUGUAAGCCACUGAACAUUUGUAAAUAAUGUAACGCCCUGAUGUGCAGUUCCUUACUUUUUCUAAUGAUCACAGCUCCUUAUUAUUGAUUAGGACCCAUGCUUUUAGCACAUAUAUACCUCAGUUGUACACCCGCGCCAACUGAAACUUGACAGUAGCCUUUUUUAAAUGUUAGAGAAGUAAUCCAGACCAAAAGAACAUGGUGAGCAAGUGAACGAGUCAACAUUGGUUAACCAAAAUUUCCUCAUAUGCCAAACAAAUAUCCUCCCUGAAUUUCUAACAUAUCACAUUGGAAUAUUUAGAUGUAUCAAGAAAGUCAAGCUAGUCUUGUCUAGUCUCGGCAGUCAAGCUUCUGAGCAAAUGCUACCAGGCAACCCAGCAGUACUAAUCAGAUGCAAUAAGGGAAACUCAGUUGACUAAUUGCUGAAACGUGAAGGAUAAAACAAC
rnacentral:lncRNA from 1 species